rnacentral:ncRNA from 1 species
ACCCUUGAGGAGCGUUGCGACGGGAACACCCGCCAGGCUCAAGCAGUGGUCACAGUUAACGACGCUCAGUCAUU